GACGAACGCUGGCGGCGUGCUUAACACAUGCAAGUCGAACGGAAAGGCCCUGCUUUUGUGGGGUGCUCGAGUGGCGAACGGGUGAGUAACACGUGAGUAACCUGCCCUUUACUUUGGGAUAACUUCAGGAAACUGGGGCUAAUACCGGAUAGGAGCUCCUGCUGCAUGGUGGGGGUUGGAAAGUUUCGGCGGUUGGGGAUGGACUCGCGGCUUAUCAGCUUGUUGGUGGGGUAGUGGCUUACCAAGGCUUUGACGGUUAGCCGGCAUGAGAGGGUGACCGGGCACAUGGGGACUGAGAGACGGCCCAGACUCCUACGGGAGGCAGCAGUGGGGAAUAUUGCACAAUGGGCGGAAGCCUGAUGCAGCAACGCCGCGUGCGGGAUGACGGCCUUCGGGUUGAAAACCGCGUUCGACUGUGACGAAGCGUGAGUGACGGUAAUGGGUAAAGAAGCACCGGCUAACUACGUG
rnacentral:rRNA from 1 species